CUUGGAUGAAUCCCACACGCUCGGUAGUUUGCAUACAAUGUGAUCGGAUAAUGAGCACUUGGCCUGGAAUAGACAAACUGCCUGGUGAAACAGCUGCCCCUGGUCUUCCUGCUUCAUGGCAUUAGCUCAUCCUAGGAGAGCUGCUUCUCCGCGCCGCUCCGGACUCUCACAGGAGCCUGCCAGGCACACGUGGCCCUCUUCUGCUUACAGUGGUUACUGGUCACCUGCCCUGUGCCAGCUCUUUCCUAGGUGCUGGGAUUCAGGACCAGAGGCCUCAUUCUGUCAGCCAUGCUGGCUUUGGGCUCACCUCCCAGCAACUUCAUCUCACCUUACAUCGUUGAAGUCUCCAUCUCCAAAUACAGUCACCUUCUGAGGUCCUGUGGAUUCUGUGGGGAAAGGUGACCCGGUUCAGCCCAUGCAGUGACAAUGAGGAGCCAGAUGAGAGAUCACGGCUGGGACCACACUGGCAGGGAGGGUGGUGGGAAAGGCUCUGGUCCUGCAGGCAGGUGCUAAGGUAGGGUAUGGAAGCAGUCUGCCCCAAGGGAAGGUGCAUUGCCCUGAGAGAAUGUAACAUCUAAGAAUGGAAAAUUCUAAAUAUUAUCACUGAGAAUAUAGUCCUCCUUCAAAAAUAUUUUGUCUAAAUUUUAAAGAAUGACUGCAAAUACGAUUGAAUUUUAGUACUACAUCUAUAAACUUCAAAUCUGCACAUUUGGUCAACAAUGUGUUCUAUGUGGAUGUUAAUUCAGAGACCUGUCACUUGCAAAGUUGACUGCCCCCCUCUUCCAGGAUCAAGUCAUGCCUAAGUUCCUGUGGCUCUGAACCACACAAGCUCACUUAGGGCCCAGAUAAGGUCUCUUGGUCUUGAAUUUAAAAGGUGGAGUUGAAACAAAUUUUGACAACACAGCAAUUACGAAGGCAAGGCAACAGUAUAUGAGUUCCUUCAACUCCGUCAUUUCAUGUGACCACUUGGGAUAUUUUGUGUGUGUGUGUUUAAAAUUUGAAGUAAAACAGUACAGACUGCGAAAUGUGACAUUUUUGUUUUGCAAGAAAAUAUUUUAAUUCAUAUGCAAACUAUUACUGGUGGUAAACAAUAUAUUUAACUGAAAUUCAGCCUUUUAUAAUUGUUAAGUAAUCGUUUUAAAGCC
ensembl:lncRNA